GAAACCAACAGGUAUAACCAUAUCACAGCCACAUACUUCCUGCUGGCUGAAAGGAUCCUGAGAGAAAAGCAAGAGAAAGAAAUACAGACCAGAUCUGCAAGCCCGAGCAAUAUCAAGGCCCAGUUUAGAGGGUCAGCUGGCCUGGAUUUAUUGAAGCUCUGCUUCCACUUCUUGCAGUGACUGCAUCUAUCCACCCCCUGGGCCGUGGGACUCUCCGGUGAAAACAGGAGUUUUUGCAUUUCUGAGGACUGAUGGCUCCACCAGAUUCACCAACCAGUCCUGUGGCCCUCACCCAGGAACUGACUCAGCUGAAGAAGACAGCUUUGACUCACUGUGAUUUCACCUCUGAUCCAAUUAGUCGGUACUCCCCCUUCCCUGGCCCCCUACCCACCAAACUAUCCUUGAAAAACUCUAGUCUGAAUUUUUGGGGAGACUGAUUUGAGUAAUAAUAAAACUGCUCUCAUGUUCAA
rnacentral:sRNA from 1 species